rnacentral:rRNA from 1 species
UUACCUACGGGAGGCAGCAAUGGGGAAUAUUGCACAAUGGGGGAAACCCUGAUGCAGCGACGCCGCGUGAGCGAUGAAGUAUUUCGGUAUGUAAGGCUCUAUCAGCAGGGAAGAAAGUGACGGUACCUGAGGAAUAAGCCACGGCUAACUACGUGCCAGCAGCCGCGGUAAUACGUAGGUGGCAAGCGUUAUCCGGAUUUAUUGGGUGUAAAGGGCGUGUAGGCGGGAGCGCAAGUCAGAUGUGAAAACUCAGGGCUCAACCCUGAGCCUGCAUUUGCAACUGUGUUUCUUGAGUGCUGGAGAGG